rnacentral:rRNA from 1 species
GAUGAACGCUAGCGGCAGGCCUAACACAUGCAAGUCGAGGGGCAGCACAGAAACAGCAAUGUUUUGGUGGCGACCGGCGGACGGGUGCGUAACGCGUAUGCAACCUACCUUUAACAGGGGGAUAACGGAGAGAAAUUUGCACUAAUACCCCAUAACAUCGAUCGAGGCAUAUAGAUUGGUUGAAAACUCCGGUGGCUAAAGAUGGGCAUGCGUUGUAUUAGGUAGUUGGUGAGGUAAUGGCCCACCAAGCCUACGAUACAUCGGGGGACUGAGAGGUUAGCCCCACACACUGAUACUGAGACACGGGCCAGACUCCGACGGGAGGCAGCAGUGAUUAAUAUUGGUCAAUGGGGCAACCCUGAACCAGCCAUGCCGCGUGCAGGAAGACGGCUCUAUGAGUUGUAUACUGCUUUUAAACAGGGAUAAAGCACAGUAUGUAUACUGUGUUGAAGUUACUGUAAGAAUAAGGAUCGGCUAACUCCGUGCCAGCCGCCGCAGUAA